AGCUUUGCGCAGUGGCAGUAUCGUAGCCAAUGAGGUUUAUCCGAGGCGCGAUUAUUGCUAAUUAAAAGUUUAGGUAAAACUACAUGUCUAAUAAAUCAAUAGAGGGUCCAUAUUGCAUAGUGGAU
rnacentral:snRNA from 1 species